UACGUAGGGGGCGAGCGUUGUCCGGAUUUAUUGGGCGUAAAGAGCUCGUAGGCGGUUCGGCAAGUCAGAUGUAAAAACUCCAGGCUCAACUUGGAGAGGCCAUCUGAUACUGCCGUGACUAGAGUCCGGUAGAGGAGCACGGAAUUCCUGGUGUAGCGGUGAAAUGCGCAGAUAUCAGGAGGAACACCAGUGGCGAAGGCGGCGACCUGGACAGAUAUUGACGCUGAGGUGCGAAAGCGUGGGGAGCAAACAGG
rnacentral:rRNA from 1 species